UACGUAGGGUGCAAGCGUUGUCCGGAAUUAUUGGGCGUAAAGCGCGCGCAGGCGGCUUGGCGCGCCCGACGUGAAAGCCCCCGGCUUAACCGGGGAGAGUCGUCGGGGACGGCCGGGCUUGAGGGCGGGAGAGGGUGGUGGAAUUCCCGGUGUAGUGGUGAAAUGCGUAGAGAUCGGGAGGAACACCUGUGGCGAAGGCGGCCACCUGGGCCGACCCUGACGCUGAGGCGCGAAGGCGUGGGGAGCGAACGGGG
rnacentral:rRNA from 1 species